rnacentral:rRNA from 1 species
AGUCACUGACAUUAGACUACCCGGGUAGUCCCAGCCGUAAACGAUACUCGCUAGGUGUCGGCCACGGUGCGACCGUUGUCGGUGCCGUAGGGAAGCCGUGAAGCGAGCCACCUGGGAAGUACGGCCGCAAGGCUGAAACUUAAAGGAAUUGGCGGGGGAGCACCACAACGGGUGGAGCUUGCGGUUUAAUCGGACUCAACGCCGGGAAUCUCACCGGAUAAGACAGCUGAAUGAUAGUCGGGAUGAAGACUCUACUUGACUAGCUG